UUGACAUUAAUAAGGCAUUUUAUGAUAGACAUUAUUCUUCUAACUCCUCUCUACAUGCUAAUUGAUUAUUAAUGGCCUUCUUAUUCCGCUCUUACUGUUCCAGCAAUUAGUUUGUGUCACUCUCUGCUAGAGAUUUCUAGCAAUACAUUUUACACUUCCACCCAUUGUGACCAGCAACUUUCCUUUUUUAGAUUAUUUCUGGCAAUGCUCCUGGUAGGCGAUAGAAUGUCUGCACUGUCUGCAAUGUCUGCACUAAAGAUAUCUGCUAGGCUAUGCGCGAUUGAAACAAGGCGAAAAGAUCGACACAACCAAAGACUGUGCGAAGAAUGAGGCAAGGCAGCUUAAGUAAGACCAAAUGUGUGUGUGUGACUGGCAACCCAAAUUCGGUGGGUCAAGCGAAGUUUGCUCAGGAAGCAGGAGUGAAUAUGCAACUUCGUCACCCGCAACCCACUGGAUUUAUUUAAAACAUUGCCUAGCCGCCAUAUAAGUAAAUUGUGGAUUUUAUUCCAAGAGCUUUUCUAUUCAACAUGUUACCAACUCUCUUUGGUAUUCAGAUAUGAUCGUUGCUUGCCGACCUGUUUGAUGCAACUUAUUAGCGAUGAUCAGCUGAGCUCCUGCUGGCAACUUGCGAUAGACGGGCAAUCGCAACGAACAUUUAAAACAAUAACAAACAGUAAAUUGACCAAACUCAAUAUGAAUAAAAAAAACACUAUUGAAUAAACUGA